GCUCCAGUGGAUUAGAUACCCUGGUAGUCCACGCCCUAAACGAUGGAUGCUAGGUAUGGGGGGUAUCGACCCCUCCCGUGCCGCAUCUAACGCGAUAAGCAUCCCGCCUGGGGAGUACGGCCGCAAGGCUAAAACUCAAAGGAAUUGACGGGGGCCCGCACAAGCGGUGGAGCGUGUGGUUUAAUUCGAUGCUAAGCGAAGAACCUUACCAGGGCUUGACAUGUUGGUGGUAGAAACCCGAAAGGGCAACG
rnacentral:rRNA from 1 species